AGAGUUUGAUCAUGGCUCAGAACGAACGCUGGCGGCAGGCCUCAAACAUGCAAGUCUAGGGGGUGUAGCAAUACAUCACCGGCGGACGGGUGCGUAACGCGUGGGAAUAUACCUAUCGAUUCGGAACAACUGAGGGAAACUUCAGCUAAUACCGAAUACGUCCUAACGGAGAAAGAUUUAUCGUCGAUAGAUUAGCCCGCGUUCGAUUAGCUAGUUGGUGGGGUAACGGCCCACCAAGGCGACGAUCGAUAGCUGUUCUGAGAGGAAGAUCAGCCACACUGGGACUGAGACACGGCCCAGACUCCUACGGGAGGCAGCAGUUGGGAAUCUUGGACAAUGGGGGAAACCCUGAUCCAGCCAUGCCGCGUGAGUGAUGAAGGCCUUCGGGUUGUAAAACUCUUUCGCGCACGACGAUAAUGACGGUAGUGCGAGAAGAAGCUCCGGCUAACUUCGUG
rnacentral:rRNA from 1 species